UACAGAGGGUGCAAGCGUUGCUCGGAAUUACUGGGCGUAAAGCGUGUGUAGGCGGUCUCGUAAGUGGGGUGUGAAAGCCCUAGGCUCAACCUAGGAACUGCGCCCCAAACUGCGAGACUUGAGUGUCGGAGAGGAUAGUGGAAUUCCCAGUGUAGAGGUGAAAUUCGUAGAUAUUCGCAAGAACACCAGUGGCGAAGGCGGCUCACUGGCCCGGUACUGACGCUGAGGUGCGAAAGCGUGGGGAGCAAACAGG
rnacentral:rRNA from 1 species